UACAGAGGGUGCAAGCGUUAAUCGGAAUUACUGGGCGUAAAGCGUGCGUAGGUGGUUUACUAAGUCAGGUGUGAAAUCCCCGGGCUCAACCUGGGAACUGCGCUUGAUACUGGUAAACUAGAGUUUAGUAGAGGGAAGUGGAAUUCCACGUGUAGCGGUGAAAUGCGUAGAUAUGUGGAGGAAUACCGAUGGCGAAGGCAGCCCCCUGGGUCGAUACUGACGCUCAUGCACGAAAGCGUGGGGAGCAAACAGG
rnacentral:rRNA from 1 species